GACGAACGCUGGCGGCGUGCUUAACACAUGCAAGUCGAACGGUGAAGGGGAGCUUGCUCCCCGGAUCAGUGGCGAACGGGUGAGUAACACGUGGGCAACCUGCCCCAGACUUCGGGAUAACGCUUCGAAAGAGGUGCUAAUACCGGAUACGAACUCCUUGGGCAUCCUGGGAGUUGGAAAGUUUUUCGGUCUGGGAUGGGCCCGCGGCCUAUCAGCUAGUUGGUGAGGUAACGGCUCACCAAGGCGACGACGGGUAGCCGGCCUGAGAGGGCGACCGGCCACACUGGGACUGAGACACGGCACAGACUCCUACGGGAGGCAGCAGUGGGGAAUAUUGCGCAAUGGGCGAAAGCCUGACGCAGCAACGCCGCGUGAGGGAUGACGGCCUUCGGGUUGUAAACCUCUUUCAGCAGGGAAGAAGCGAAAGUGACGGUACCUGCAGAAGAAGCACCGGCUAACUACGUGCCAGCAGCCGCCGUAAGAC
rnacentral:rRNA from 1 species